CCUACGGGAGGCUGCAGUAAGGAAUAUUGGACAAUGGGCGCAAGCCUGAUCCAGCCAUGCCGCGUGAAGGAUUAAGGCCCUACGGGUUGUAAACUUCUUUUGCAGAAGGGUAAACCUAGAUACGUGUAUCUAGCUGAAAGUACUCUGCGAAUAAGCAUCGGCUAACUCCGUGCCAGCAGCCGCGGUAAUACGGAGGAUGCAAGCGUUAUCCGGAUUUACUGGGUUUAAAGGGUGCGUAGGCGGACGGGUCAGUCAGUGGUGAAAGCCUGUUGCUUAACAACAGAACGGCCAUUGAUACUGCUUGUCUUGAGUACAGUUGAGGUUGGCGGAAUAUGUCAUGUAGUAGUGAAAUACUUAGAUAUGACAUAGAACACCGAUUGCGAAGGCAGCUAGCUAAGCUGUUACUGACGCUGAGGCACGAAAGCGUGGGGAGCAAACAGGAUUAGAUACCCCAGUAGUC
rnacentral:rRNA from 1 species